AUUAUAAAACUUUAGUGGUUUGUUCUUUCAUAUUAUUAGGUAGCUUUUUUUCUUCUUUCUUUUUUUAUUU
rnacentral:tRNA from 1 species